UACCUGUGUGACUGCGUACCUUUUGUAUAAUGGGUCAGCGACUUAUAUUCUGUAGCAAGGUUAACCGAAUAGGGGAGCCGGAGGGAAACCGAGUCUUAACCGGGCGUUAAGUUGCAGGGUAUAGACCCGAAACCCGGUGAUCUAGCCAUGGGCAGGUUGAAGGUUGGGUAACACUAACUGGAGGACCGAACCGACUAAUGUUGAAAAAUUAGCGGAUGACCUGUGGCUGGGGGUGAAAGGCCAAUCAAACCGGGAGAUAGCUGGUUCUCCCCGAAAGCUAUUUAGGUAGCGCCUCGUGAAUUCAUCUCCGGGGGUAGAGCACUGUUUCGGCUAGGGGGCCAUCCCGGCUUACCAACCCGAUGCAAACUGCGAAUACCGGAGAAUGUUAUCACGGGAGACACACGGCGGGUGCUAACGUCCGUCGUGAAGAGGGAAACAACCCAGACCGCCAGCUAAGGUCCCAAAGUCAUGGUUAAGUGGGAAACGAUGUGGGAAGGCCCAGACAGCCAGGAUGUUGGCUUAGAAGCAGCCAUCAUUUAAAGAAAGCGUAAUAGCUCACUGGUCGAGUCGGCCUGCGCGGAAGAUGUAACGGGGCUAAACCAU
rnacentral:rRNA from 1 species